UACGAAGGGGGCUAGCGUUGCUCGGAAUUACUGGGCGUAAAGCGCACGUAGGCGGCUUCUUAAGGUCGGAGGUGAAAUCCUGGAGCUCAACUCCAGAACUGCCUUCGAUACUGGGGAAGCUCGAGUCCGGGAGAGGUGAGUGGAACUGCGAAGUGUAGAGGUGAAAUUCGUAGAUAUUCGCAAGAACACCAGUGGCGAAGGCGGCUCACUGGCCCGGUAC
rnacentral:rRNA from 1 species